rnacentral:rRNA from 1 species
UACAGAGGGUGCAAACGUUGUUCGGAAUUACUGGGCAUAAAGCGCACGUAGGCGGCUUCUCUAGUGCGGAGUGAAAUCCCACGGCUCACCCGUGGAACUGCUUCGCAUACUGGGAGGCUGGAGGACGGUAGAGGAGAGCGGAACUCUUGGUGGAGCGGUGAAAUGCGUAGAUAUCAAGAGGAACACCGAAGGCGAAGGCAGCUCUCUGGGCCGUUUCUGACGCUGAGGUGCGAAAGCCAGGGUAGCGAACGGG